GAUGAACGCUGGCGGCGUGCCUAAUACAUGCAAGUCGAGCGAACAGACGAGGAGCUUGCUCCUCUGACGUUAGCGGCGGACGGGUGAGUAACACGUGGAUAACCUACCUAUAAGACUGGGAUAACUUCGGGAAACCGGAGCUAAUACCGGAUAACAUGUUGAACCGCAUGGUUCAACAGUGAAAGACGGUCUUGCUGUCACUUAUAGAUGGAUCCGCGCCGCAUUAGCUAGUUGGUAAGGUAACGGCUUACCAAGGCAACGAUGCGUAGCCGACCUGAGAGGGUGAUCGGCCACACUGGAACUGAGGCACGGUCCAGACUCCUACGGGAGGCAGCAGUAGGGAAUCUUCCGCAAUGGGCGAAAUCCUGACGGAGCAACGCCGCGUGAGUGAAGAAGGUCUUCGGAUCGUAAAACUCUGUUAUUAGGGAAGAACAAAUGUGUAAGUAACUAUGCACGUCUUGACGGUACCUAAUCAGAAAGCCACGGCUAACUACGUG
rnacentral:rRNA from 1 species